UUUCGACAAUAAUCGCUUUCAGUUAUCGAUUAAAUGUCUCAUCUCCCAUCUCCUUACAUGUGUCCCAUCUCUAAAACAUUUAACAGCUGAGUGCGUAAUUAAUUUCACGAAAUGGAUAAGGCAUUGAACAUGUAUUCAAUUGAACUACAGCGCAACGCAAGUCGUAAAAGUAAAGUGUGGGAGUUUUUUGGUGUCUUGCAAGCGAAAGAAGAAAACAAGUUCAUCGAAGAAGACAAGGUUUUUUGCAAAUUGUGUUUGGAUGAACAGAAAAAAGAAGACGAAACAACAAUCUUUUCAUGUGCUAAAAUUCAAUCAUC